rnacentral:rRNA from 1 species
GACGAGGUGCACAAACGUUAUUCGGAAUUACUGGGCUUAAAGCGUGCGUAGGCGGCCUAGCAAGUCGGGUGUGAAAGCCCUCGGCUCAACCGAGGAAUUGCGCCCGAAACUGCUGGGCUUGAGUGAGACAGAGGUGAGCGGAACUGAUGGUGGAGCGGUGAAAUGCGUUGAUAUCAUCAGGAACACCGGUGGCGAAGGCGGCUCACUGGCCCGGUACUGACGCUGAGGUGCGAAAGCGUGGGGAGCAAACAGGG